GACGAACGCUGGCGGCGUGCUUAACACAUGCAAGUCGAACGGAAAGGCCCUGCUCUUGUGGGGUGCUCGAGUGGCGAACGGGUGAGUAACACGUGAGUAACCUGCCCUUGACUUUGGGAUAACUUCAGGAAACUGGGGCUAAUAUCGGAUAGGAGCUCCUGCUGCAUGGUGGGGGUUGGAAAGUUUCGGCGGUUGGGGAUGGACUCGCGGCUUAUCAGCUUGUUGGUGGGGUAGUGGCUUACCAAGGCUUUGACGGGUAGCCGGCCUGAGAGGGUGACCGGCCACAUUGGGACUGAGAGACGGCCCAGACUCCUACGGGAGGCAGCAGGGGAGAAUAUUGCACAAUGGGCGGAAGCCUGAUGCAGCAACGCCGCGUGCGGAAUGACGGCCUUCGGGUUGUAAACCGCUUUCGCCUGUGACGAAGCGUGAGUGACGGUAAUGGGUAAAGAAGCACCGGCUAACUACGUG
rnacentral:rRNA from 1 species